UACGUAGGGUGCAAGCGUUGUCCGGAAUUAUUGGGCGUAAAGAGCUCGUAGGCGGUUUGUCGCGUCUGCUGUGAAAACCCGAGGCUCAACCUCGGGCCUGCAGUGGGUACGGGCAGACUAGAGUGCGGUAGGGGGAGAUUGGAAUUCCUGGUGUAGCGGUGGAAUGCGCAGAUAUCAGGAGGAACACCGGUGGCGAAGGCGGGUCUCUGGGCCGAUGACUGACGCUGAGGAGCGAAAGCGUGGGGAGCGAACAGG
rnacentral:rRNA from 1 species